UCCAUUAGCUGGUGUUAUCCCUGCUCCACUGCUUUCCCUGAGCAUUGUGGGAAUUUGGAGCCUCGGAAGGAAUUUGGUCAGGCCCAGUGCUGGGUUCUGCUGGGCUGAGCCCAUCUAAGGGGAAGAGAGAAAACAGGAGGAGAAUGAACAGCUAGGAAGGACCUGUAUGUCUCUAUCGUCCUUAGGUUUGUGUCGCUGAAUUUCACCUUAUUCUCUGGUCCUUCACCAUUUAUAUUGGUCCUGAUUCCCUAAAUAUACUGUGAACUCCUUGAAGACUUGACCAGGAGAAUUGUUAUGUGAAGACUAGUCAUCAAGGGAAAAGUAGAGAGAGAAUCAAAGAACUACUGGAUUUUGGUAUUGGAAGGGACUGGGCACACCAAGUUCCUAAUUUUACAAAGAAGAAAAUGGAGACUUAGAUGGUUCUCAGUGACUUGCCCAAAUUCCCGAAGUUACGUUAAUGACAGAGCAAGAACUAGGAGACAAGUCUCAACCGUGCCCCCCCCCCCAAUUCUUUCUCUUCAGGACCUUGGAACUUUCUCUUUGCAUAUCAUGGAUCCCCCUUUGGCAAUCUGGUGGAAUCUAUGGACCACUUCUCUGAGUAAUGUUCCUCAGUAUGUAAAAUAAAAUAUAUGGCAUUGCAAAGGAAACCAA